rnacentral:rRNA from 1 species
GACGAACGCUGGCGGCGUGCUUAACACAUGCAAGUCGAACGGAAAGGCCCUGCUUUUGUGGGGUGCUCGAGUGGCGAACGGGUGAGUAACACGUGAGUAACCUGCCCUUGACUUUGGGAUAACUUCAGGAAACUGGGGCUAAUACCGGAUAGGAGCUCCUGCUGCAUGGUGGGGGUUGGAAAGUUUCGGCGGUUGGGGAUGGACUCGCGGCUUAUCAGAUUGUUGGUGGGGUAGUGGCUUACCAAGGCUUUGACGGGUAGCCGGCCUGAGAGGGUGACCGGCCACAUUGGGACUGAGAUACGGCACAGACUCCUACGGGAGGCAGCAGUGGGGAAUAUUGCACAAUGGGCGGAAGCCUGAUGCAGCAACGCCGCGUGCGGGAUGACGGCCUUCGGGUUGUAAACCGCUUUCGCCUGUGACGAAGCGUGAGUGGCGGUAAUGGGUAAAGAAGCACCGGCUAACUACGUG